CCUACGGGUGGCAGCAGUGAGGAAUAUUGGUCAAUGGACGGAAGUCUGAACCAGCCAUGCCGCGUGCAGGAAGACGGCUCUAUGAGUUGUAAACUGCUUUUGUACAAGGGUAAACCUGAAUACGUGUAUUCAGCUGAAAGUACUUUACGAAUAAGGAUCGGCUAACUCCGUGCCAGCAGCCGCGGUAAUACGGAGGAUCCAAGCGUUAUCCGGAUUUAUUGGGUUUAAAGGGUGCGUAGGCGGAUUGAUAAGUUAGAGGUGAAAUGUCCGAGCUUAACUCGGGAACUGCCUCUAAUACUGUUGGUCUAGAGAGUAGAUGCGGUAGGCGGAAUGUGUGGUGUAGCGGUGAAAUGCUUAGAGAUCGUACAGAACGCCGAUUGCGAAGGCAGCUUACCAAUCUAUAUCUGACGUUGAGGCACGAAAGCGUAGGGAGCAAACAGGAUUAGAUACCCCUGUAGUC
rnacentral:rRNA from 1 species